AAACCAGCACCUCAAGUGGUCAGGAUGAUUAUUGGGCCUAAAGCAUCCGUAGCCUGUUCUGUAAGUUUUCGGUUAAAUCUGUAUGCCCAACAUACAGGCUGCCGGGAAUACUGCAGGACUAGGGAGUGGGAGAGGUAGACGGUACUCGGGAGGAAGUGGUAAAAUGCUUUGAUCUCUCGAUGACCACCUGUGGCGAAGGCGGUCUACCAGAACACGUCCGACUGUGAGGGAUGAAAGCUGGGGGAGCAAACCGGAUUAGAAACCCCGGUAGUCC
rnacentral:rRNA from 1 species